rnacentral:rRNA from 1 species
UAUGUGAUCGUCUCUCGCAUAUCAAUAAGCGGAGGAAAAGAAACUAACAGGAUUCCCCUAGUAACGGCGAGUGAAGCGGGAAGAGCUCAAAUUUGAAAUCUUAAAGGGUUUCCCUUUACGAAUUGUAGUUUAAAGAAGUGUUUUCUGUUGAGGUUUUGGUAAAAGUUCUUUGGAAUAGGACAUCAUAGAGGGUGAGAAUCCCGUAUUUGACCUUUACUUUCAACUUUGUGAUACACUUUCAAAGAGUCGGAUUGUUUGGGAAUGCAGUCCAAAAUGGGUGGUAAAUUUCAGUCUAAAGCUAAAUAUUGGCGAGAGACCGAUAGCGAACAAGUACCGUGAGGGAAAGAUGAAAAGAACUUUGAAAAGAGAGUUAAACAGUACGUGAAAUUGUCAAAAGGGAAGCGUUUGACACCAGUGUUGUUUUUCUGAAAAUCAAUUAAAGAACUGUUUAUGCUAAGUUGUUUAGACUUUAUCAGCUAUCUGUUUAGCUUUUGAGCUUUUCUUUAAUGCACUUUUCAGUUAACAAGUCAACAUCAAUUUCUUUUGCUGUAAAAAAGCUUGAGGAAGGUGGCUUGAGAUUCGUCUUAAGUGUUUAUAGCCUCUUGCCUAUGCAGUCGGAGAGAUUGAGGUCUGCAGCGUAGAUCCUUCGGGGCUAAAUGCAUUUGUGCUAAGUUAUAGCAUUUUAUAGACAACUUGUUGACUAUGAUUUGUCUUGUAGCUUACUCGCUUAUGUUAUUUUACCUACGCUUAGGAUGUUGAUCUACAGAGCGAGAGU